GAUGAACGCUAGCGGCAGGCUUAAUACAUGCAAGUCGAGGGGCAGCACGAAUAGCAAUAUUUGGUGGCGACCGGCAAACGGGUGCGGAACACGUACGGCAACCUUCCUUUAAGUGGAGAUAGCCCGGGAAACCCGGAUUAAUACUCCGUAACAUUAUAAAGUGGUCAUCACUUAGUAAUUAUAGAUUUAUCGCUUAAAGAUGGGCGUGCGCCUGAUUAGGUAGUUGGCGGAGUAAUAGCCACCAAGCCUGCGAUCAGUAACUGGUGUGAGAGCACGACCAGUCACACGGGCACUGAGAC
rnacentral:rRNA from 1 species